GGCGCCGCCGCCAUUUUGGGAGGAGGCGGGGCCUAGCGGCGCCGGGCCGAGCCGCGGCCUCGCGUGGGAUCCGUGGCCGCUGAGGGGCUGAGGGCGGCGGCGGGGCAGGUAAAGGUUUGGGGUCAAAGAAUGUGAGUGGCAACGUCACGGCUACGUGGGAGCUGAGAGGAAGAGGCUUUUACCGCCCCGUGCCAAAUUUGCUGAGCAGCUUCGUCUGUCGCAUUGCUAUUUUGUCAUAAAAGGAGGAAGACAAAGCGGGAUUUGAUGUUUUGUGUGGCGCCCAACGGAAUAGGACCCAUCAUGAAUGUGACCAAGGGCGGGCUGGUGCUGUUCUCGGCCAAUUCUAACCAUCCUGCAUGGAGCUGUCGAGGAGAAUCGCUGAGUAAGUGAAGUUGUUUUUUCGGGGCGG